GGAGGGAUAGCUCAGUGGUUUGAGCUUUGGCUUGUUAAACCCAGGGUUGUGAGUUCCCUCCU
rnacentral:tRNA from 1 species